rnacentral:rRNA from 1 species
UACGGGGGGGAGCAAGCGUUGUUCGGAUUUACUGGGCGUAAAGGGCGCGUAGGCGGCGUGACAAGUCACUUGUGAAAUCUCCGGGCUUAACUCGGAACGGUCAAGUGAUACUGUCGUGCUAGAGUACAGAAGGGGCAACUGGAAUUCUCGGUGUAGCGGUGAAAUGCGUAGAGAUCGGGAAGAAUACCCGUGGCGAAGGCGGCCAGCUGGGCCAGGUCCGACACUGAGGCGCGAAAGCGUGGGGAGCAAACAGG